rnacentral:rRNA from 1 species
AUGGAACCAAUUACUUGGAGAGAAGCCACCGGAUCUGCUCGGGAAAUGCUGGAAGAGGAGCAGAUCCGGAGGGAGGUGGAGGUCGCAGGACGGAGAUCACCACCCGAGGCGUCGCUGCUGGUGCGAGAGAGAAGAAGAGGCGACCGUGAUGAGGCUGAGCCCGCCGCUGCUCACGAGGGAGGUUGCAGGAAGGAGAGGACGUGCUCGCGCCGGAGGGAGGCGGAGGACGUGCUCCCGACGUCGGGAGGUGUGGAUUUGACGCCCAGGGAAGUGAGGGGGAUAGGGCUGAAAACCCCCGCCGGCGGAGACAACCAAAUAUGCGUCGGCGGCCUGACCGGGGGCCUCAAUGCUUUCAGCAGUGGAGAAAGUGUAGCUGGAUCAUGGCGUGCGGGCGUUUAA